UGUUUCGGCUAGGGGGCCAUCCCGGCUUACCAACCCGAUGCAAACUGCGAAUACCGGAGAAUGUUAUCACGGGAGACACACGGCGGGUGCUAACGUCCGUCGUGAAGAGGGAAACAACCCAGACCGCCAGCUAAGGUCCCAAAGUCAUGGUUAAGUGGGAAACGAUGUGGGAAGGCCCAGACAGCCAGGAUGUUGGCUUAGAAGCAGCCAUCAUUUAAAGAAAGCGUAAUAGCUCACUGGUCGAGUCGGCCUGCGCGGAAGAUGUAACGGGGCUAAACCAUGCACCGAAGCUGCGGCAGCGACACUGUGUGUUGUUGGGUAGGGGAGCGUUCUGUAAGCCUGUGAAGGUGUGCUGUGAGGCAUGCUGGAGGUAUCAGAAGUGCGAAUGCUGACAUAAGUAACGAUAAAGCGGGUGAAAAGCCCGCUCGCCGGAAGACCAAGGGUUCCUGUCCAACGUUAAUCGGGGCAGGGUGAGUCGACCCCUAAGGCGAGGCCGAAAGGCGUAGUCGAUGGGAAACGGGUUAAUAUUCCCGUACUUGGUGUUACUGCGAAGGGGGGACGGAGAAGGCUAUGUUGGCCGGGCGACGGUUGUCCCGGUUUAAGCGUGUAGGUGUGUGUUCCAGGUAAAUCCGGUUCACUUUAACACUGAGGCGUGAUGACGAGGCACUACGGUGCUGAAGCAACAAAUGCCCUGCUUCCAGGAAAAGCCUCUAAGCAUCAGGUAACAUCAAAUCGUACCCCAAACCGACACAGGUGGUCAGGUAGAGAAUACCAAGGCGCUUGAGAGAACUCGGGUGAAGGAACUAGGCAAAAUGGUGCCGUAACUUCGGGAGAAGGCACGCUGACACGUAGGUGAAGUGAUUUACUCACGGAGCUGAAGUCAGUCGAAGAUACCAGCUGGCUGCAACUGUUUAUUAAAAACACAGCACUGUGCAAACACGAAAGUGGACGUAUACGGUGUGACGCCUGCCCGGUGCCGGAAGGUUAAUUGAUGGGGUCAGCGCAAGCGAAGCUCCUGAUCGAAGCCCCGGUAAACGGCGGCCGUAACUAUAACGGUCCUAAGGUAGCGAAAUUCCUUGUCGGGUAAGUUCCGACCUGCACGAAUGGCGUAAUGAUGGCCAGGCUGUCUCCACCCGAGACUCAGUGAAAUUGAACUCGCUGUGAAGAUGCAGUGUACCCGCGGCAAGACGGAAAGACCCCGUGAACCUUUACUAUAGCUUGACACUGAACAUUGAGCCUUGAUGUGUAGGAUAGGUGGGAGGCUUUGAAGCGUGGACGCCAGUCUGCGUGGAGCCGACCUUGAAAUACCACCCUUUAAUGUUUGAUGUUCUAACGUGGAUCCGUGAUCCGGGUUGCGGACAGUGUCUGGUGGGUAGUUUGACUGGGGCGGUCUCCUCCUAAAGAGUAACGGAGGAGCACGAAGGUUGGCUAAUCCUGGUCGGACAUCAGGAGGUUAGUGCAAUGGCAUAAGCCAGCUUGACUGCGAGCGUGACGGCGCGAGCAGGUGCGAAAGCAGGUCAUAGUGAUCCGGUGGUUCUGAAUGGAAGGGCCAUCGCUCAACGGAUAAAAGGUACUCCGGGGAUAACAGGCUGAUACCGCCCAAGAGUUCAUAUCGACGGCGGUGUUUGGCACCUCGAUGUCGGCUCAUCACAUCCUGGGGCUGAAGUAGGUCCCAAGGGUAUGGCUGUUCGCCAUUUAAAGUGGUACGCGAGCUGGGUUUAGAACGUCGUGAGACAGUUCGGUCCCUAUCUGCCGUGGGCGCUGGAGAACUGAGGGGGGCUGCUCCUAGUACGAGAGGACCGGAGUGGACGCAUCACUGGUGUUCGGGUUGUCAUGCCAAUGGCACUGCCCGGUAGCUAAAUGCGGAAGAGAUAAGUGCUGAAAGCAUCUAAGCACGAAACUUGCCCCGAGAUGAGUUCUCCCUGAGACUACGAGUCUCCUGAAGGAACGUUGAAGACGACGACGUUGAUAGGCCGGGUGUGUAAGCGCAGCGAUGCGUUGAGCUAACCGGUA
rnacentral:rRNA from 1 species